rnacentral:rRNA from 1 species
AUUGAACGCUGGCGGCAGGCCUAACACAUGCAAGUCGAGCGAGCGGCGGACGGGUGAGUAAUGUCUGGGAAACUGCCUGAUGGAGGGGGGUAACUACUGGAGACAGUAGCUAAUACCGCAUACCCUCUGAUGUGCCCAGAUGGGAUUAGCUCGUAGGUGGGGUAACGGCUCACCUAGGCGACGCGCCCUAGCUGGUCUGAGAGGAUGACCAGCCACACUGGAACUGAGACACGGUCCAGACGCCUACGGGAGGCAGCAGUGGGGAAUAUUGCACAAUGGGCGCAAGCCUGAUGCAGCCAUGCCGCGUGUAUGAAGAAGGCCUUCGGGUUGUAAAGCACUUUCAGCGGGGAGGCGUUACCCGCAGAAGAAGCACCGGCUAACUCCGUGCCAGCAGCCGCGGUAAUAC